CUGGUGACCAAAACACCCAUCAUGGCAAUAAAAGGCAAGCUCCAGAAAGCCAGUCUCCACAGGAGACCAAGGUUUAAUUUCCAGCACCCACGCUGUGGUCUCAACCAUCCACAACUUGUCUUGGGGUCCAAUGCCAUCUUCUGGCUUCUGCAGCGUGGACAGAGAACAGAAAUCGAAGCUCACUGUAUGGAAAUGCUUCCGAGGAUGCCUGGCAGCCUGGAACAAUUAUGAAGAACAAGGCUGAAGUAACAUUACCGGUCAGAAAGAGAACAGAGCGGGAA